rnacentral:lncRNA from 1 species
GGUUCUUCCCAAGAGAGCGUAUGGUGCCUAUGGUGUGGAGGGAACUUCUGAUUCUUUCUCAAUCCUUUUAGGGACCAUCUGGUCUUCCAGGACUCCCGGGACCAGCAGGGCCACCAGGACCUCCAGGGCUGCCCGGGGCUCUCCCGGAUGGUGGUGGAGACCUUCAGUGCCCAGCUCUGUGCCCCCCAGGGCCACCCGGUCCCCCAGGGAUGCCAGGAUUCAAGGUAAGAGCAAUAUUCUCAGCAGGUGCAAGGAGCUCAGUCCAAACGUGUAACACAGACUGACAUCAAGGUGCAGGCUCACACUACACUGCAUGAA